AUUGAACGCUGGCGGCAUGCUUUACACAUGCAAGUCGAACGGCAGCGCGGGCUUCGGCCUGGCGGCGAGUGGCGAACGGGUGAGUAAUUCAUCCGAACGUGCCCAGUCGUGGGGGCUAGCCCGGCGAAAGCCGGAUUAAUACCGCAUACGACCUGAGGGUGAAAGCGGGGGACCGAAAGGCCUCGCGCUAUUGGAGCGGCCGAUGUCGGAUUAGCUAGUUGGUUGGGUAAAGGCUUACCAAGGCGACGAUCCGUAGCUGGUCUGAGAGGACGACCAGCCACACUGGGACUGAGACACGGCCCAGACUCCUACGGGAGGCAGCAGUGGGGAAUUUUGGACAAUGGGGGCAACCCUGAUCCAGCCAUGCCGCGUGCGGGAAGAAGGCCUUCGGGUUGUAAACCGCUUUUGUUCGGGAAGAAAUCCUCUGGGCUAAUACCCCGGGGGGAUGACGGUACCGGAAGAAUAAGCACCGGCUAACUACGUG
rnacentral:rRNA from 1 species